rnacentral:lncRNA from 1 species
AGAUCUGCCUCACACCCCCGUCCUUUCUUUCCCCACUGGAAUCUGUCACACCCAGCGAAUAAAUCCCGUCAGCAGGCCUCACACCCGGCUGGUUAUCCUCCCUCUCGGCAGCACCGAAGCCUCCCCUGCCCUCCCUCCACUUACCUGCCAGUGCACACGCUCGCUGCGAGCCGCGGCUGGUACUGCCGCUCCCCCGAACAGCGCAACCGCCAGAGCUCGCCCGCCACGGGCCGCCAGCACCGCGGGCAGCCGUGCCGCAGGCCGGCGGGGCUGCCCCGCACUGGCGCGCCCCACGCGCAGGGGCGCCGGCCGGGGGAGGCCUGGCGGGGGCCACCGCGGGAGCGGGGAGGCGGCAGCCCCGCUCCCCCACCGCCCGCCCGCCGAGAGGGGCGCCUCGGAGCCGCACCCGGCCCCGGCGAGCCAAAGCACGGCCCGGGGCGCGCCACGCACCGCGCGCCUCCAGAGCGGGCGGCGAGCGGGGUGGGGGUAGGCCCCGCCGAGGGCUCCCGCGGCCCCGGUUCCUCAGCGGCCGGAGACGAGUCCUGGGCCAGGAAAGCUCCCACCCCAGCCGCUAGGAACCCCGCCCGCCGCCGGCUCGAAGCGCCAGCUCCUCGGCCACGGCCCCGGGAGCCUUCAUCCCCGCUCACUCACCCGCUGCUCAUGGUACCGGGCAGGGCCACGCCGAGGGGGGAGGAGGAGCCACGGGCACCUACCGCCGGGGCCCAGCGCCCGGAGCCUGCGCCAUUCAAACGGCGCCGCGCUGCAUGCUGGGCCGCGCCGCGCCACGCCCCACCGGCCGCGCCGCGCGGCGCAGGCACGCGGCGCCCUCUGACGGCCGCGCUGCCACCUCCCGGCGGCCGGGGGCGUGUCCGCCACGGCGGCGGCUGCUUCUCGCCCCGCCCGGCCCGGCCCGGCCCCGCCCCGCCCCGCCCCGCCCCGCCCCGCCGGCCUCCCGGCUGCCCCGGUGCGCCCCGCCCGGCGGGCCCGCGGCCGUCAGCUGCGGGAGCCUCUGCCGGUACGGCGGUGCUGUGCGUGCGGAGCUGCGGGUCAGCGCGGUGUUGCUCGGCGUAA